rnacentral:rRNA from 1 species
UACGUAGGUGACAAGCGUUGUCCGGAAUUACUGGGCGUAAAGGGCGCGUAGGCGGCCAUCUAAGUCAGACGUGAAAUCCCCCGGCUUAACCUGGGAACUGCGUCUGAUACUGGAAGGCUUGAGUAUGGGAGAGGGAUGUAGAAUUCCAGGUGUAGCGGUGAAAUGCGUAGAUAUCUGGAGGAAUACCGGUGGCGAAGGCGGCAUCCUGGACCAUUACUGACGCUGAGGCGGCGAAAGCUAGGGGAGCAAACGGG